UCCCACUCCAGACAGACGCAGGUUAAGAUCCUCUCUGGGAGUUCAUGUCAAACCAGGCAAAAGCUGUUAUUAAAACUACCGACGAUUGCUUGCAGCUUCAGUUUGGCCCCAGCAGACUUCUGCCUUCAGUGGCUGUAUCACAAGGGUCAGGCCUUCAAGAUUGUUCUACACAUCAAACAGCAUCAGAUCACAGUCAGGAGGAACCAUCAAACCCAGAGAGCUGCAAAUCCAAGAGAAAAAAACAAUUCUUGUUUUAUGUUGGCUUCCAAGAGAAAGAGACUCGUCAGUGUGCCAGUGGGUCAGCCGAGCGCAUCAGAGUCCGCGCUAAAAUGGAUGUCACCCCAUAAUUGCCAAGGAUUGUCUCAGAGAUAUAAACUUCAACCACGAGUCAUUAGAGUGACGGCUUAUACAAAUGGAUCUGGAACAGCCUUUGCCAACAUUACUGCACCAACCAUCGCCUUGUUGCUGGAAGCAUCACUCACAAGCUGAAUCUGAACAUGGCCGCGCGACGAGUGUUUUUGGCAGAUGGCACGGAAGCCCUCAAACCUGAAGAUAUACCCCAUGAAGCCAACGUUUAUGUUUCAACAGGAGAGCCCUUUUAAAAUCCAUUCAAAAAAAUUAAAGCCAAGUCCAGAGCAACAAGAACAAAAAAACUUCUGUGCUUUGUCUGCACAUCUUUGGCUGUGUUUCAUUGUGACAUGCACUGCUGUUCUUUUACACCAAAAUGUUGGCACAGGCUCCUGAAAAUUUCACACCAUCUCCUGCUGGAUCAGCAAGCUUAACCCACCAAAGUCUGGUGUUGUGCAAUGGUUUCUGACUGAUAAUCAAUCUUUCUGCUGCUCGACAGUUGUUACUGGGACACGGAGCAGAGCAGGUGGCAGAUGUGUCUUGUCUUUUGAGAGAAGAAAUUGUAGGUGAGCUUGGACACCGACUAGCAUAUCACAUGUCUGUUUAAAGAUGUAGGAUAAGGACAAUGGGGGGAAGCCACCAUCUGAUUAUUCUCAGAGAUGCGCCUAAACACUAACGUUUGUUCACUUUCAAAAUAUUGAGAACAUAAAUGUAAAUAUAUGUUUGUACACACACAUACACAUGUGGGGUGAUGCUUAACUUACGGGUAUACUGUAACAAUAAACCACGUAUGGAUGACUUUGCAGACAGAAGACGAGCUUAGCAUGGGGAGGAGUAAGCGUUGCUGAGGGCAGGAAAGCCACUGAGCAGAGCCAGCGUUAGUGACACAACCUUCCCAUCUGCAUGUGCGCUUUACAGACAGUCAGCAUGGCGGCACCAGUCAGUGACCUGACAUUAUUUCAACUCAGUCUCCUCUCAGCAGCUUCUCGGAGGUUUCUUUCUGCCUGCAAGUAACCAGCCAGGCCAGAGUAGAUGAGAGCAAAGGAACAUGGUUGUCUACCUGGGUUUUAUUUUCAAUUCAAUAAAAAUGUAACCCGAUAAACAUGUUUAUUGUGUGCCUACUGUGUGUUUAGCACUGGCAUAGGGAGAGAGGUCCGGGACUUUGCCGAGCUUAACAAAGUCUGUAGGUCAUAAUGUGAAUACUUAGUAGGAGAACCACAAUUCAACAAUGAUUCCCAGGAAAAGGUAUUUAUUAUUUUAUUUCUCCUACAAGAAGGUCAAAUAAGUCAGCAUAGUAUUUUGGUGAUUAUAUUCCAUAUUUUACUGUUUUUUUAAACUGAACUUGAGAAAAUCAGCGUAGAUAGUAAAAAUUGUCUCUUAUGAAAAGUAACCU